rnacentral:lncRNA from 1 species
UCUAUGACCCUUGGAAUAUUCACAAGAGGUGCUGGUGACAUUCAACUCUUCUUUAAAUAGUCAAGCGAGACCGAACAGAGUCACAUAUAUACAUGUAAUAACAAAUCAUCGCAUUCCAAGAUGGCGUAGCAGUCGGAUGUGUGUUUGUCUUGUCCCGUCUUGUCCCGUGUACAUAGUCGUUUUCCUUGUUUUUACUUAUAUAUUUCGUAUAUAUUUUAAUCUCACUUUCCAUCUACGAACUGAAUAUACUUUCCUGCAACCCGCCUCACCCAAUGUGGUUGCAGCUGUAAAUGAGAACUUGUUCUCAACUGGCCUACCUGGUUAAAUUGUCACGCCUGCUCCCGCUCUUCCUCCCUCUGGUGCUCGAGGGCGCCAGACUCCCCAUUAUUACGCACUCAAGCCACCAUCAGUACGCACACCUGCCUUCCCCCUGUCACGCACAUCAGCGAUCAUUGGACUCACGUGGACUUAAUUGUGUCAUUACCUUCCCUAUAUCUGUCUGUUCCCAAGCUCUGUUCCCUGCUUCUGGAUUGAUUGUCAUAUGUCCGUGUUCUGACGCUGUUCCUGUCUUGUUCUAUGUCUGUUCCCUAUUAAAUGUUUGACUCCCCGUACCUGCUUCUCCUGUCCGGCGUCACUCCUUAUAGAAUCCCGGAGCCAUCACACGAAGCAGGUCAUCACACGAAGCUGUGGUACUGGCGUUCCGGUUGGUGGUGAUGUCGGUUCUGGGUCGCCGCUGAUGGACCCGGGGUUGCCUAGCCAGCUCGUCGGGCUUCCACGCCCUAGCUGGCUCAAGAAGUUUCCUUGCCCCGGUUGGCUCGGAAGGCGCCCAUCCCACGUCGGGCCUCAGCUGGAUCGUCAGGUCCUGUUCGCCCAGCCGGCUUGUCAGACUGUCACGUCUCCGUCGGAUCAUCGGGCUUCCACGUCGCAGUGGGAUCGACAGGCGUUCAUGCCUCAGCCGGCUCGCCAGGCUCCCACGCCCCUGCCGGUUCGUGGGGAAUUUACCCCCAGCCUCCAACUCAAGCCACCAUCAGUACGCACACCUGCCUUCCCUCACGUGGAGUCAAUUACUUGUGUCAUUACCUUCCCUAUAUCUGUCUGUUCCCAAGCUCUGUUCCCUGCUUCUGGAUUGAUUGUCAUAUGUCCGUGUUACCCGUGUUCUGACGCUGUUCCUGUCUUGUUCUAUGUCUGUUCCCUAUUAAAUGUUUGACUCCCCGUACCUGCUUCUCCUGUCCGGCAUCACUCCUUAUAUAAA